AACGAACGCUGGCGGCGUGCCUAACACAUGCAAGUCGAACGAGAAAGGGGCUUCGGCCCUGAGUAAAGUGGCGCACGGGUGAGUAACGCGUGGGUAAUCUGCCCCCGGGCCUGGAAUAACCUGCCGAAAGGUGGGCUAAUACCGGAUGACGUCCUCCUGCACAAGAAGGGGGUCCAAAGGUCGCUUCGGCCGCCGCCCAAGGAUGAGCCCUGGUACCAUUAGCUAGUUGGCAGGGUAACGGCCUACCAAGGCUACGAUGGUUAGCUGGUCUGAGAGGACGACCAGCCACACUGGAACUGAGACACGGUCCAGACUCCUACGGGAGGCAGCAGUGGGGAAUAUUGCGCAAUGGGGGAAACCCUGACGCAGCGACGCCGCGUGAGCGAUGAAGGCCUUCGGGUCGUAAAGCUCUGUCGGGUGGGAAGAACCCUUUCGGGGUUAACAGCCUCGGAAGCUGACGGUACCACCAAAGGGGGCACCGGCUAACUACGUGCCAGCCGCCGCAGUAAAAC
rnacentral:rRNA from 1 species